rnacentral:rRNA from 1 species
AUUGAACGCUGGCGGCAGGCUUAACACAUGCAAGUCGAGCGGGGUGAUGGUGCUUGCACUAUCACUUAGCGGCGGACGGGUGAGUAAUGCUUAGGAAUCUGCCUAUUAGUGGGGGACAACAUCUCGAAAGGGAUGCUAAUACCGCAUACGUCCUACGGGAGAAAGCAGGGGAUCACUUGUGACCUUGCGCUAAUAGAUGAGCCUAAGUCGGAUUAGCUAGUUGGUGGGGUAAAGGCCUACCAAGGCGACGAUCUGUAGCGGGUCUGAGAGGAUGAUCCGCCACAAUGGGAAUGAGACACGGCCCAGACUCCUACGGGAGGCAGCAGUGGGGAAUAUUGGACAAUGGGGGGAACCCUGAUCCAGCCAUGCCGCGUGUGUGAAGAAGGCCUUAUGGUUGUAAAGCACUUUAAGCGAGGAGGAGGCUCUUUUGGUUAAUACCCAAGAUGAGUGACGUUACUCGCAGAAUAAGCACCGGCUAACUCUGUGCCAGCAGCCGCCGUAA